GAUGAACGCUAGCUACAGGCUUAACACAUGCAAGUCGAGGGGCAGCAUGUCGGUUGCUUGCAACCGAUGAUGGCGACCGGCGCACGGGUGAGUAACGCGUAUCCAACCUACCCUUGUCCAUCGGAUAACCCGUCGAAAGGCGGCCUAACACGAUAUGCGGUUCUCAGCAGGCAUCUAACGAGAACGAAAUGUGAAGGAGAAGGAUGGGGAUGCGUCUGAUUAGCUUGUUGGCGGGGUAACGGCCCACCAAGGCGACGAUCAGUAGGGGUUCUGAGAGGAAGGUCCCCCACAUUGGAGCUGAGACACGGUCCAAACUCCUACGGGAGGCAGCAGUGAGGAAUAUUGGUCAAUGGACGGGAGUCUGAACCAGCCAAGUAGCGUGCAGGAUGACGGCCCUAUGGGUUGUAAACUGCUUUUAUAGGGGGAUAAAGUGUGCCACGUGUGGCAUAUUGCAGGUACCCUAUGAAUAAGGACCGGCUAAUUCCGUGCCAGCAGCCGCGGUAAUACGGAAGGUCCGGGCGUUAUCCGGAUUUAUUGGGUUUAAAGGGAGCGUAGGCCGUCUUAUAAGCGUGUUGUGAAAUGUCGGGGCUCAACCUGGGCAUUGCAGCGCGAACUGUGAGACUUGAGUGCGCAGGAAGUAGGCGGAAUUCGUCGUGUAGCGGUGAAAUGCUUAGAUAUGACGAAGAACUCCGAUUGCGAAGGCAGCCUGCUGUAGCGCAACUGACGCUGAAGCUCGAAAGCGUGGGUAUCGAACAGG
rnacentral:rRNA from 1 species